CAUUGGAAAACUAUUUCAUAUCAAAUUGUGCCUAUAGGAAUUUACGCUUCGAACACACCGACUGCGUAAUUGCAUCACUGCUGCCUAACAUUUUGCGUAGCUAGGCAACUAUACUGAUGCGGGUAUCUUUUGCAAAUGGUCGCAUGCGAUUGGACACAUGGAGGAAAGAAUCAUUUUCGCAGAAACCUCAAAACCGUGUCGUUUUGACACACCUGCUGACAGCUACAGGGACAUAAACACAAAAAAUGCUGCUUGGAGACAAGUGUCCACGACAGUAGGAUUGCCAGGUCAGUUUAGUAGGGAGCUUGUGCUAGAUGUGGCUAGUUAGCUAGCUAGCUAACCUAGCCAAUGAGGUUUGUAUGUGAAAUAAAUAGUCAUAUAAAUUGUGCUAGUUACUACCCCUGAUAACUUUACCAAAUAAUCAUGUUUGAAAGAGUGUGAAUGUCAGAUAAAUAGUCAUAGAAAUGGUAGAUAUUACUGUACCCCUGAUCAUUUGGUCAGAUAACUGUGUGUGUGUGUCUGUGUGUACAGUAGGUGACAUGUCCAUGAUAGCUAUCUAAUAACUAUAGUUAUGCUAGGUAAUGGUUUGGUUUAUCGUGUUCAUGUCUAUGUAGAAGAAGACUAGGAGGAAGUGGAUAGGACUCAGGGACAGGUAUCAUAGAGAGAGAAGGGCAAAGAAAGAGAAGAGGUCUGGGUCAGCAGCUUCAGGCCAGCAGCCUUGGCACUUCUGCCACAUUCUUUCUUUUCUGGAUCCAUUUAUUGUGCCUGGAUCCAUUUAUUGUGCCUAGGGCAACGAGGGGCAAUUUUACAGCCAGACCCUCUACUACGUCAUCCACAAGUGUUGUCGCCACCGGUGCAUCAAGACCCUCAAUGUCAUCUACAAGCGAGACCACCGCCACCAUCGGUGCAGCGAGACCCUCUACAACGUUUACAUGAUCCACAAGUAUCCACAAGGGGGAAGCACCUCUGGAUCUAGGACCACCAGAGAUUAUUAUGAACCUCACGGAAGUGACCACUGAGGACCUCGUUGAACAGGAUGUGGGCGUGGAGACAAACAAGGAGAGAAACAGAGAGAGAAACGAAGAGGAACAACUUCACACCAGGCGUCAUCGGAGGUAAUAGCCCCCCAGAUCCACUCAAUUCAUUUCAGCAGAGGCUCCUCCAAGCUGUCGAGAGGGAUGCAGCCCAACCUGAUGCUCACAGGAAGGAGGAUGAAGAGACCCACUUUGCCAUGAGCCUGGUGCCAACACUGAAGAGGCUACCUCAGCAAAGACAAGCAGCAGUCAAGGUUCAAAUGUAUCAGCUGCUUUUCAAAGCCGAGUUCAAUGAGAUGGAUUCAAUUUAGCCGAGCAGCUCACAGGAAGCUGCAACAUUGAGAGCAUCCUGAACGGUUGCAUCACUGCUUGGUACGGCAACUGCUCGGCCUCCGACCACAAGGCACUUCAGAGGGUAGUGCGUACGGCCCAGUACAUCACUGGGGCAAAGCUGCCUGCCAUCCAGGACCUCUACACCAGGCAGUGUCAGAGGAAGGCCCUAAAAAUAGUCAAAGACCCCAGCCACCCCAGUCAUAGACUGUUCUCUCUACUACCGCAUGGCAAGCGGUACCGGAGUGCCAAGGCUAGGACAAAAAGGCUUCUCAACAGUUUUAUCCCCAAGCCAUAAGACUCCUGAACAGAUCUAAGACAAGAUGAAUGUCAAGGCCGUCGUCGGAAGGAGACCAAGGUGCAGCGUUGUGUGCGUACAUUUUGUUUUAUUAUUGUAAAUGUCGCCAGCAAAACAAGAAACAAAGAAACAACCGUGAAGCUUAACAGGGCUAUAGUGCCACUAACAAAGAUAACUACCCACAACUCCCAAAAUGAAAAAAGGCUGCCUAAGUAUGAUUCCCAAUCAGAGACAACGAUAGACAGCUGUACCUGAUUGACGACCAUACCCGGCCAAAACAUAGAAAUAUAACACAUAGAAUGCCCACCCGAAUCACACCCUG